CAGUACUCCCACACAUCCACCAUAAAACCUUUUCCCUUCCACAGUGAUAAUCUUAUAACUUAUUCAUAUCAUAUUUACUUAAACUGAUGUACAGACUCUGAGACAAUAGCUUUCAAACAAGGUGACAUCUGUGCUUACAUUGUGGUCCAUACUUUAGGAUAUACAGUUUUCUAAAUUUUUAGUUAUCCUCUGUUUUACAUUAUGGUGUACAUUACUGAAUCCAUUUCUAAUCCCUGUUCCCCGCUCUUUUCCAGCCAUUUCCUCUGCUCGGGCCUCCUCAUUUCUUGCUGGUACUGCUGCUGAGCAACUAUCAUACCUGCAUGUGGCACCUUCCAUCAUCCUCCAUGCCCAAGUGCAUGAUCUCUACCACAAGCAACUUGGAAUCUACCCUGCCUUUGUCCAGCAUCUCCAGAUCUCCCUUCACCAAUAGGAUAAAUCCCUUUUACCUGGCCUGCUUGAGGGCUCUCGAUGAUCCAGCCAGCCCUUCCCAGUCUUAUUUCUGCUUUUCCCUCCCUCUUACUGACUUGUGCUGGUAGAAACACCCUCAAGCUUCCAUCUUUCCUGGAACACGCCAUGCUCUUUCAUGUCUCCGUGCUUUUGCACAUGCUGUCCCUGUGCCUGGAAUACCCUCCCUGCUGGUCCACCUGGCAUCCAUCUGAGGCUCAGCUCUAAAGCUACUCAGCCCCCUCACCCUAAUCUCAUAUCCCUGGGGCUUUGUACCAGCAGCCAGAGCCCCUUGAGCACCAAGCACAGAGCACCAGGGAACCUUAGCUGAAUGAAUAAAACUUUCUGGCCAGGCCAGAAAGUCAGUCACCAAAAGGCAGUUUUCUCUGUAAACAUCUGGUGGCACAGCAGGAGCAAUGAGAAAACUGCUCCCAAUUGUUUGAACUAGUGCAUCAAUUAGGCUGCGUUGUCAUAAAGGAGGAUGUAUAAAAAUAUAGCCUUAAAUGUUAAAAGAAUCAUGUGAACUCACACAUGUGUGGUAGUAUCACUUACUGCUUGCUGGGAUCAUCAUCAUCACCAACAUUUUGGGGGCUUCCACUGUGUGCCAGAUUCUGUGCUCAGUAUUGCAUGCACAACCUCUUGUUUUAAGACUGGGUUGCAUGUUACUGCCCCCAUAUUCAGUAAGGGAAACUGAGGCUCA
rnacentral:lncRNA from 1 species